rnacentral:rRNA from 1 species
UUUCUGAACGCAUAUGGCGCUGCCGGGAUUUUCUCUGCAGCACGUCUGUUUCAGUGUC